UACGUAGGGUGCAAGCGUUAAUCGGAAUUACUGGGCGUAAAGCGUGCGCAGGCGGUUAUAUAAGACAGUUGUGAAAUCCCCGGGCUCAACCUGGGAACUGCAUCUGUGACUGUAUAGCUAGAGUACGGUAGAGGGGGAUGGAAUUCCGCGUGUAGCAGUGAAAUGCGUAGAGUAUGCGGAGGAACACCGAUGGCGAAGGCAGCCCCCUGGGCUAACACUGACGCUCAGGCACGAAAGCGUGGGGAGCAAACAGG
rnacentral:rRNA from 1 species